CCAACCCCAGGAAUUCCUGUGCACUCCCCCCACCACAGAAAUUCCUGUUCACUCCAGUAUAAAAGACCUGCAAGCCCCAGAAUCAGCACUUGAGCCAUUUUUUAGGGUGCUGAGCCCAAGCUGCAGUUUGUUUAAUAAACCCCCUCCCAUGUGUUUCCUUGUUGGUUAUCGUUUCAUCCUUGGGAUCAAUUCACCGGGCACUUCAUAUGGGGGCUCAUCUUGGGAUCCCAUGAAAGAAACAGAGUCUGAACAGAGGGAGGGGACCCCUGUCCUGGGUCAACUCGAGAUGACGGGAUCUGGAACACAUCACAUAUAGGUGGAGGACAGUAGGGCUGGUGAGUAGCCUCGGGAGGUGUUAAAUGAGUGUGCAGAGAUAUUGUGUGAGCGUGAGGGGAAAAGGUCUCCUGAGUCAUCAACAUACAGCUAAGUGGCUGACCACUGGUCCCUGGCCCCAGGGGUUGUACAGAGAUAGCCUAUUGCCAAGCCGGACUCUUUCCGGAGAUCUGCCCACCGAUUUCUGAGUGCAGACCAGGAAACUAUACAGUUCCUAUUUCCCUUGAGGGGAUAGGUCAGAAAUUCUGGGAAUCAUGUGGAUGAAGACUGUGACACCCCUCUUGACUCUCUUCACCUAAGGAUGCCCGACUCCCUUAAAUAAGCAGUGAAGCUGUCUGGUACAAAAGGAGUCUGCAGGAGGACAGAAGUCUGCAGGAGAGGAGGCUGAAGGCAUCCACCAGAUUUGAAAGACUUAAAAGAUUUUGGGGAAAUGGGGUAGUGUUUUGAUGUUUAGAUUUUGCCAAAGGCAGACUGCCUGCCUUUCUGGCUCAAAUGUCAAUGCGCUGCUGGCAUUGGGGAAUGCCCCCAAAUGCCAAUUACCCGUACCUGUCCCCAAGGUUUUCCCACCAUUAGUGAUGAGAGUCCAACCCCAUAUAGCAUUACCCAUUUGCCCAUAUAUUUGGUCAGCGAUGUCCAGUCUUGAUCUAAAGGGGGGGUGUCAACAUGGAAUCUAGGAACCCCAAACUUGUAGCCUAGUAAGAUCUGAUAAACCCCAAGUUUUAGGAUUAGCUUGUAAACUGGAGACCCCAAAGCUUGUACUUUUUCCCCCUUUUUCCAUGGGAAUCCACCCUGAAGGGAAUCCCAGGCUAGCAGUUUCAGACUGAGUGGGGGACCCUCAGGGGAAUGACAAUCCUAGUUGAGUGGGACUAAGCAUAUGCUAAGGACCCUCUUUGUCUUAGUUAGUCUCCCCUUUCCCAAGAAGCCCCCCACCUGGGCAGGAACCAUCCUUUAGUAUCCAUGGUAAGCAGCCCCUUCUCUUACACCCUAGCCUCCAGCUAGGAUUCCUUUCCCAAGCUUGAUUGUAUGCUGUCAGUGUAGUUUGAACACUUCCAUUUUCCUUGUAGCUAUAGUGAUGUCAAUCACCUUUCCCUGCCCCUGGACUCCCCAAAUGGUAUCUAGGUUCCCCAAAUUCUUUUGUUCCUUGGAGUUGUCAUCUUAUCUUGGUGCCAAUGCCAGGGGCCAGUGACCUGAGCGGCCACAGUUCAGUCCUUGGACUCUGUGCAGUCGUGUGUGGCGCAGCUCUGUGUCCAGGCCUACUAGUGCUGAACCCCUUUUGCCCUGGAUUAAACAGUGAUCUUGACUAUUUAA